ACUGAUUGACAGAACACCAAAAACUUGGUCUGUGACUUAGCAUGUUGGUUUUUCAGGAAGUGCUGACCUUUUUCGUCAUUAUUCUGUUCUUUCUGGUGAACUAUUCCUAACUCCCCUAUUGAGCUAAACUGUCUGUCUAAAAUGCGUCUUUGUAGUUACUGCCUAUCGUCUUUACAUCUCUUUACAAUGAUAUGCUUAUUUGUUGAUGCUGAAACAAAAUUGAGAGAUGCAUUAUAAUCAGACCUCCAUGAAAGUAUGUGUAUCUUUUCUAUGCCUUAUGUGCUUAACUAUUGAUUUCAGCUAUAGAUUUCACUCUUAUGAAGUAAUGAAGUGCCACAUCCAAAUCCCACAAAUUUACACUCACAGUUCUAGCUCCUAAUAAUGGAAUGCCCAAGGAUAUCAAUGUGGUUACUCAUGUGAGCAAAGAUUUGGAGACUUGUUUCCCAUUCGUGAGUGAAAUGGUUUAAGAAAUGUGCAGUUACUAUGGUUCUCUUUUGGCUUAAAAACAAAAAUCUCCGUUAAAACAACCGCUAAUGAGAUUUGUUGAAGGGGCUCAAGGAUAGGCAAAUUCCCUGAUUUAAUACAAGGAUGUGGUGGACUCUUGACAGCAGUAUUUCAAGAAGAAUGAUAAAAAUGUUCUCCCUCUUUAGUUUAUUAACAGUUUUAGAAACACGGGAAACAUAUUUCAUCUCUCUGUGCUGCACCACUAGAUACUGUCAUGACCCUUGAAAUAACAGCACAACUAUGACUUACUCCUCCCCUUGAGAAUAAAAGAUAAUUUUGUCUGGUCUUUAUCACGUAAUCAUCCCAGCUCCUAGCAAUAACUGUCAGUUAUGACAAAUUGCACCAAACUGAUUUUUCAGGUUAGGCUUCUCCUGGCCUUUUGUAGGCAAAGCUAUAAUAUCUCCAGUGUGCGCUGUUUGUUAUUUUCAUAUUCUUGGUUUCAUUGCAAGCAAAGAAGGCAAGAUGUGUUCCCUGGUCAUUGAUAAACCAAUUAAGGUUCCUUGGUUCCUCUCUACUGGAGAAAUUUCUUUGGUUCAGUGUUUCUUAAACUGUUCAAUAGCAUCCUCUAAUUUAUAGAGAUAAAGGGAUGUAUUUGUUGCUACUUCUCUCCUAAUUUUCACAAAUUCUGCAUUUCCAAAUAUGAUUUGAGGGGUGGGGGAGGGGAAGGUGAUUGGACUCACAAUCAGUAUUAGGUCUACUCAUGUGGAUGAUAAUGGAAUCACACUGAAAUAGCUGAGAAAGGGAGUCCUAAAAUUAACUGUCUGAAACAGUAAUGUUGCUUUCUUAGCAUUUUUCUUUAAUGCAGACAUACAUAUACUUUUAUGAGGUGGCUAUUGUUGCAAAAAGGGCUUCUAAUUGCAAAUGGAAGAACACAACCAGCCUCACAUGUGUGCAUAAUGAAAGAAAUCUUGGCUAUAAAUAUCUUUUAAUGAAUUAAAGCAGGACAAAAUUAUCUCCAAAGGUGUAGCGAAACACAUCUAAAUAAACUGAACAUCCAUUUACUCAUAAAAUUAGAGCAAUCUAAACAUAUUCCAGCAGCCAUUAGCUACCUACUGUUUGUCACAACUGGAAGGUUUAGACAGAUGGAAUCUGUAAUAUUGCUUCUUGAAACAUAAGUCAUUCUAGGAAAGAAAUUGUAUGGCUGGAGCUGCCAUAUUGGUGUUGUGCUGCAAUCUGGUGAUUAUUUUUUUCAGAGUCUAGAUGUCAUAUAAAGACUACACAGCAUCUCCUCCAAAUUGUGUAAGUUUGUAUACUAUAUACAUACCUACUUACAUGUGCAUACGUAAGUAUGCCAAUAUAUAUACAUUGGAAUUUAUUAAUAUGCAGUUGGUGCACUGUUUUUAUUACUACUCUUUAUUUGUACUUGCUUCACUGCAAGAGAAGUUGUUUGGGCAGAUCUGUUAAGGUACAUGCUAACAUUAUGCAUUUUCUACCUCAACUGAACACUUCCUAUGUUCAUUUGCACAAAGAGGACUCUCAAAGCCUAUACUUAGAGUGUGUGGCAGCCCAUCUUCCUAAAAGUAACUACCUGAACUGAAUGUCAUUGUAAGUUGGACUAAAUGCAGUGUAAGAGAGUUCUGCUUUCCUUAUCCUUAACUGGAAGAAAACACAUCUGGGCUCUCCUGGGAAGCUGCCAUUUUACAAACAGUAAAAACAGCAGGAGGUCCAGUCUGCUGGAAUAGGAUAAGAAUAAAAAACACAGCUCCCACUUGACUGCCUGACCAAACAAGAGAUUUUGAAUGUUGCCUCAAAACUCAAUUGCAUUUUUCUAGAUUGAUGUGAAAGUAGUUAGAUUCUGGUUCAGUCACUUUUACUCACAAAGUAACAGUAUAUGGAACAACAGAGUUUUUUUGUCAUAUAGAUUUGACUGAGAUUUAUUGCUUCUAAUUUAUUCCAUGCUGUUUUCAAAUCUUCCUUUUGAUAAAAUGUGGCGUUAUUUCUUACACAACUCUCUAUUAUAUGUAUCCUCCAAUGCCAUAGAAGUGUAUUGUGCCCCACAGUUUGGGAUUUGUUUGUUUUUAAAACCCAAUGUAAGCAGAUAGGAAUAGACCUGCUGGGGAAAAGCUCAUCUGCAGGAUCAUUUGAGGGCAAGAAGUGUAGGAUGUUGAAACAAUAUAUUACAGAAUCACAGAAUGGUUAGGGGUGAAUGGCACCUCUGGGUCCCUCUAAUCUAACCCCCUGUUCAAGCAGAGAUACCUAGAGCAGGUUGCCCAGGUCAAGUCCAGGUAGAGAUUUCCAAGGAUGAGACUCCAUAGCUUCUCUGGGCAGCCUGUGCCACUGCUGCACCACCCACACAAGAGGUUUGCAGAGUUCAUAAGCAUCCCAGUACCUUCCAUAACUGUGUUUCAGUGUUCUCUGGCCAUAUCCCAUUAUCUUUGAAAAGCUAGAAAUCAUUCAUGAGUAUUGUCCCUUCUGGUUGAACAUUGUGGGUAUCUUUCAUAUUAGAAUGGUUAGUCUCUUAGAAAAAUAUCAUCCAUGAUAAACUUGCAGAUUUUAAGAGACUGUAAGUUAAAAUUCUGCCUACAUGGCGUGGCAUACUGGGCAGGAUGCUUUCUAUUUAGGUCUCAUAUUUGAUGCAGAAUGAAAUUACUGAGAUAUGUGGUCUCAUCUGAUUAAAACUUUGAAAUGUUAAUAGUCUUUUGGCUGACACUUAGGGAAAGAUCACUAGUAAUUUCCUAAGGGGAAAGAACUAUUAGCUUCCGACUAUACCUGGGUCUGUCCAAGCCCAAUAUAUUAGUAGCUGACAUCUAUGUAGAUUUGUAAGAGCUUUUGAAGUUUUCUGGAUUGUGUACAGACCGAAAAGAGACAGAUUAUUAUUGCUUCCAUGAAGGAGGUGGAAUAUAAUACUUCAGUGCUAAAUAAAGGAAGCUAAGGGUCAAUCUCUCAGUCAAAACCCAUCUACAUUGGAAAAAUGCAUGAGACUUUUUUUUCUGUACUGGUCCUUCCUAUCCUAUCCAACCAACUGGUUGAAAACUGAGACUUUGGGUCUCCAAGGGCUUUCAGAGCAGAUGUCAAGUGAAGGAACAAUGAAUUUGGACUGCCUCUGUAUCUCUUCCAAAGUAGUGACAGUAGGUAUGUUGAUGAGGAUGGUAUUAUGUUAGAAUUUGGAUCACAGGUUUAACUUCUGUUGGUUGGUUUGUUUGUUUUCAAUUUAAUUUUAAUUUUAUAGGGUCAAAUUUAGGCAGUUACUGUUUGCCAUUUAUGAGCCACUUUCCUACAGGCUGUGGAAGGGAUGAAUGCAUUGUUGAUAGUAGGAUAGCCCUACAAAGAAACUUCACUUCUCUUUUGCAAAGCCAUAUAUUAGACUUUGCAUUGCGUGCUGUCCCCAGUUUUGAUAUUGUUUCUGUAUUCCACUCCUUUUUGCUCUCUGAAUCUAUAAAUUGCUUUGAAAUAUGGUUUUGAAGUGCUAGAGGAUGCUGAAAUAUGUAGUGAAAGCUGAGAGCGUGUGUAAUACAACUUGGGUGGGAUUCAGUUCCAGAUUGACACUAAAGCUUAGGUAUCUAUAUGCAGAAGUUUACACCUGUUUCAGCCCAGUAGAUACCAAUGGUUCAAUUCAGUUGCCUGCAUGCAGGCACGUAAUGCCAUUACUCAUGCACUGAAGUACCUUAGACAUCCCUGUGGGAUCAGAUGGGACUGACAGAUGCACAGGACUUAUGGAUACACUGUCCUUACAGAGAAGUGGCUCUUCCAGGACAUCUGAAAUGGUGCUUGGCACCUAUGCCUAUGUCCCUGAACAGGGAAGCUAUCAUAGCUGUCCAGUUAAAUUGCUCUCCAGGUUCCACUGCCCAUGUUGACUAGAUUAUCACUGACUAUAGUGCUACCUUUGACAGUUAGCUUGUGUAUAGACAUCUAAGCACAAUUUAAUUAACUGCAGAUUUUUUACAUCAUUUUAUUAUGUAACUGUUCCUGAAUAAAAAAGAGGUAUUUAUGAACCACAAUUGAAGCCUAUUUUGUUGUGGUAGUAGGACAGAAGAAGGAAAGCAGGAAGAAAGGGGAAAAGUACAUUUAUACAUACAUAUAAAAAAGUAUCUACUUUCAGUGCUGGAGUUACAACAUGGGAUUUCUCUGUAGUACAGAUCUUACCGGUAUUCUCUGUAAAUCUCUAACUCCCUGGCCAAGAAAAGACAAAGUCUUCUUGUGCUGAUGCUGGUGCCCUUGGUAAGAUGCUGCAUCUUGGGCUAGUUAAUAUGAAAAAUCAUGUGUACUUCAAGAUUAGGUUAUUGUAUUGGAAUAUGAUCUAAUAUCUGUGUUAUGUUACGCUGUACUAGGGUAGGCUGUGCUAUGCUAUUCUGGAUAUCUAAUUUGUUGUAACUGCUAUCUCAGAUGAUUUGAACUGACUUCAGAUGUACCUAACUCUCUUCAUCAGCUGCAUAUGGCCAUUUGCUCUGAGAAAAUUGUCUGAGGGAAGAAUUGUUUACCUUAUGUUGUGCCUCACUUACACAAAGCCAUUUUGCUGAGAUAUCUUUAAACAUCCACAUUUUGGAAGUUUAAAUACAUAUCUAUAAUACAUACCUGUAGCAUUGGUCUAAUGUAUUCUUGUGUAUUUGGAAACAAUAUAUGUAUACGCUCCACAAUUUUUUCAUGCCGAAGAAUAAUUUCCCCAACAGAACAUUCUAAAUUACAAGUCCAGUUCUUGUCUGUUUUGAGGCCCAUAAUUAGACCUCAGAUGGUAGGGCAAUUGCAGAAGAGCAUUUACUAAUUUACAUGGUAAUCAAACAUAGUCUGAUGGGCUGUGAUUAACAUUGGCUCUGUCAACAUCUUAAUUAGCCAGAAGCACAUCAUGAGGCACUGGUGCCUAUCUUCCCACCCCUGAGGAUUUUUCCAACCUAGAACAUGUUCUUCAAUAGCUGUUUUCCAUAGCACUGUUAAAGCUCUCAUAAGGGGAGUUAGUUAAAAACUGUUUAGCUUUGUGUAGAAUACAUGAGGUAGUAUAGUAUCUUUCUUUAGAGGACAGCGUUUGGCCAAUACCUGGAUCAGGUAUGGUAUUAAACAACAGAUUUUUGUCAAAAUCACAUGGGGCACAGAAUAUGCUUUUUAAGAAUUGUGGACAGUUUUAUCUCAUUGAUUAGUUCCACAUGUCCACAGCCCCAGGAAUCUCUCCACAGGAGCCUGCGUGGAAUUGGGAUAAGCACAGUUUAACUAUGCCUUUGUAGCUGAGCAACCUGCUGGGCAGGACUUCAUCUCUACUAACAAUGUCUCUCCCGAUGUUUUGUUUAAAGGGUUAGUAGUCUGCAGCUAAUUUAUUUUACAAGCAAAAAUCGACUUUUUCCAUGCAGAUAUGUUUCAAAAUUCCUUGAAUACUAUCAAAUAUUGUUUCCAAAAGCUAGCCUCGCUGCAGACUAACUCCCAGUGAGACUGGGAGAUGUUUUCCCCAUUUGAUUCCUUGCUGUACAUCUUUCACUGCAGCAAAGAACACGCGGUGAUAUGUGGAAAUGUUCAGUGUAUAUUUUUAUUUUUAAAAGGAAAAUCUUGUGCUGAAAUGUUUAAUUUUACUGGGAAGAAGUUCUUUUGAUGCUGAAGCCAGAAACUCUGCUCUGGCAUUACACGUUCUCAAUAUCACAGAAGUGCAGAGUAUAAGUGCAAAUAAUAGAUACACUGUGUGUGUAUUCUGUCCUUGCUUUUAAGACAGUCGAUUUAGGAGCUUCUGGUGGUAACAAGGAAAAAACUUUAUCCUUCAGUUUGGAAUUGACAGCUUAGCAGAACAAGGAACAAUUUGUGACUUUACAUUUUCUAUUGUCUUUGGGUUUAACGCUGCGUUGCUUUCUGGUUGGUUUCUGAGGAGAGGUAUGAGCAGUCUUUGGUAUCAGUAACACUGCACGUAUGUCCAAUGCUACCUUGGCCUUCCACCCAGGGGAAUGGUGUCUCAGCCUCCCACAUAGGAAGUCUUCCCUCAUUACAGAAAUAAAUGAAAGAUUCCUUGAGAUGAAAACCACUGACAAAUUACAGCAAUCUCUUGCCAAAACAGAGAGAAUUUAUUAGUGGAAAAGAUCCAGGAAGCUUCCUUGGUCUAUUUGCCUGCCAAUGCCUUGUUAUUUCUUACUUCAUUUCAAAGGCUUCAUUAUGUUCAAUCCAUCUUUUCAGGCUUUAGUGACAGUCUUCCCUCUUAUUUAGAGGCUUAUUUUCUUGGUAUUAAAUCCUUUCUUCUGUUUAUAGUACAAAUCAUUCUGCUCUGUUCAGCCCAUGUCACUAAUCAAAAAAAGUAUUCUAUAUAUAAUUAUAAAUAUAUUUGUAUUUGAUUUCUGAAUAUACUGUAAGUUUUAGAUGAACUGUAAGAAUUUGAAAUAAGAAAAAAAAGAGUAAGUUUUAUUUGCUAGUGUGCUGAAUCCUUUUGUGAAGAGAUAACCUUUUAAGUUAAUGAAGCCCUUAUGUUACCAUCAUAAAAUAAGAAUUUCAUGUCUUUAAAUACAGUGUGUUGAAAAUUGCUUUGACGUAUAGUGCUUUAAUAUACUAGGCAAAAAAAAAAAAAAGUCCAAUUUUGAUCUUCAUGGACCCAAUCAUUUAAAACCAAAUCAGCAGUUAUCUGCAGUUGUCAUACUGCUUUAAAGUAGAUGUUACCAAUAUUUCUUGACCUGUGUAUAAAUAUAUAGUUGGGUACGAACUUUUUAGCCUAAACACAAAUGAUGUGACCUGCCACUGAAGUUACUGCAGACCACACUAACUGAAAAUGGCUGUUGGGAUGAGUAACAUUACCAGAAAAAAACAGUUCUUAAUGGCUGGAAAAUGUAAAGAAAGCAUAUUUGUAAAUGACACUUUGAAAUGUUGAUUCAUGAGGUGGUUUGAUACUUGAAAUUUGGAUAAUUUAUUUGUAUUUUAGCUAUGGGCAGUAGAUCUGCAAACUGUUUUCUUUAAAUCCCUUCUCCUUACCCUUGGGACUAGGACAUCAGCGGAGGACUUUUGGUCUGUAUUAUUAGCAUGCUUCAUAUAUUCCUCACUCCCUUUCUUUUUUAUAUCUAUCCUGGAUAAUUAAUUAAAAAUGAAGAGUUAUCUCUUGUAACCUCAGCAAAUCAAAAUGUUAGAUAGUAUCUCAGUUAAUUCUGAAGGAAAUUAAAAUUCCAAAGAAAUUCUGAAAUCUUUUCAUCCAUGCCUUCUGGAUAUUCGUGUAUUUCUCCAUUAUAGUAGGAGCUCGCAUGCUAAAAUUUAACCCCUAAGUGUAAAUUUUAAAAUGUAAGCGAGUUAAGUCUCUCCUUUAAUGACUUAAAUUCGCUGUUCUUAUAAUGUUAAUGUCUGAAGAAUUAUUUAGAAUGUUUGGAAGGUAGAAGACCGUUCCUACCCAAGUAGCGUGCAGGAAUUUUCAAACAGAAGCAUCUGAAAUAUUUAAUCACUGCUAGAAAUGAACACUUAACAGCAAAAGUGUUUACUAAUGACCAACCCAAUCUACUUUCCUCUGAAAAGAGCUAAUGGCAUUGCCUUUUUCAGUAGCUCUGGAACAUUGCUUUAAGUUUUUUGGAUUCACUUUUGAAAAUACCGAAUUCAAGUAAAUGCAGUCAAGAAACAAAGCAAACAAAAAAUGGUAAUAUUGAGGAAUGUUUUCUUGAGAUCCUUAGCUCACAAGUCGUAAGAGCAAACAACUAUUUUCCACAGUACAAUGGUAAUUUUCCAUUAGAAAGCUUGUGAUGUCCCUUAAAAGAACAAAAGAUCUAAAAUUAUCUUGUAUCAUACACAGAAUACAUUGUGUUCAAUAUAUCCCAGUAAUUAGUUAUCCUCCUGGAAGUCUGAACACUAUAAUUAACUAGCAUUUACACAGUGUUUUUCUGUACAAAGUACUCCCAUUUCACAGAAAGGAAAAUUGUGGCAGAAUUUUGGUCAUGCUUCCAGUAUUUCUGAGCGAAGAUUUUGAGUGUUCAUGAUCAGAGCGCUGGGCAUUUUUCACAGAUGAUCUUCUCUGUCUAUGUGAAGAGGUUCUCCUGGAAUCAGUCCCGGGGAGACAUAUUGGGAGAGCAGGUGGAAUCUAUUGAAUUGAAGUCAUGGAUAUUUGAACACUAUUGUAGUCAUUAACAAUGCAUCAAUUAAGCUUAGCACACAUGGAAAGUAAAUAUUUAUGUGACUGUUGAUCCUGCUGGAGAAAGUGGAAAAUUGGACAAGGAUGUCUGUGUUUCAGUUCUGUUUCAGUUAGCUGUCUGGCUCUGUUAUGCUAAUUUCUGUGCUAUCAUCUUUCUAUAGAGCUAGGAGAUUGGGAAAUGCUAGAUCCAAUUGAGAAAAGCUUUAAAAAAUCAGUUUGUCAAGAAAAAGAAAGCCAAGAAAAGUGACGAGCUGUAGUCCGUACUGUUCCAUGUGAAAAAUAUGGUGUUAAUUCUAUAUUUUUUUUCUAUAUGAGAUCAUUAGAGGGCUUUAUAGUCUUUCCAGAUAAGUACAAAAGACACUCUAUGGCUUGAUGUGUCUCUAUGAAUUUGAAGGUAUGAUCUCUGUAGGGCAUACUUCUGUUGGUCUUACAUCAUUAAUGUUUCCCUUCAUUUAUUUCUGUGGAGUACCUGCACCAUCUUUUAAAGAGGGAAUUGCCUGGAGUAAUAAAUUGAAUCUUGAAUCUUUGCACCUGAUGCCAUGGGAGGUUAUAAAUGAGUUAUGGGCUAGUAAGACAGAAUCCUAAAUGUUUCUAUUUCUCAUAGAAAAGCUGACCCUUGGGCUCAUUAACCAGAGAACGGAAAAUCUGAACUUGCUAACAAGAAAGCAAUUAAUUAUUUACACACAUGAGGGUGUUUGCCAUUAGCAUCCUUGGAAUUAUUAGUCCUUGUUCUGCUAGAUUUACUUUUGCCCUCAAGACUGUAGUUGUUAAAAUCUUGAUUUGGUCUUGCCCAUUUAAAACCAGGGAAUAGGUAUCAUACAAACUAGGAGUAAAAGCAGGACUGUAGAUAUCCAUUGCAUUUGCUCUUUCAAACAGAUUAAACCAUGCGAUUUUAGAGCUACAAUAAUGUAGAAUCACCAGUAGUAACUCUGCUAUCACCUAUAUGGUAUUGUAUAUUAUUGUAGCACAUUCAUGACCAGAACAAAGUAAAUAAAUUAUUGAGUGCUGUGGGUGAUAUUUAUUUAUUUAUGUAUGCAUGUCAUUGUUAAAGCAAGUGGAAGAGAAAAACCUUGCAUCCCAAUAUGACUCCCGUGGGGAAAUCUUAAUGCCAUUCAGCCAGGUGGAGCUUCUGUUUGGUUUUAUUUUCCAUUCACUGCCAUCCACUUAUCUGUCAUAAUGCCCUGAGCACUUUUCAACUAUGAAUACGUCUUGCUAUAGCAAUAUAUAGGCUUUGUAAAUAAAGUCUGCCACCCCAAAAGGGGGGACAAUAUAAGCUUCAUAUAUUUAACCUGUUUUAAGUUCUGAAAAGUGUAUUUCUGUAUAAAAUGUAUGUAUAUUUCUGUAGUAAAACAUUUUAAGACCUUUUUGUCAUGGGAAAUUUCUUUUCCAUGGCAGGUGACCUUAACAGGUCCUCUCUGGCUGCAUAACUGCUAUGGAUAUGAACAUUAAGGGGUUUCAAAUGGAUGCAGCAUGAUGCAGACAUGUUUGAAAGAUUACUCCAAAGCUUUUCUCCCCAGUAUUGGAGCAGUUUGAAACCUUCAAGGCCUGUGUUCUCCCCACAGGUAUGUUCAGGAAACUCCCGGUGGCUACAGCCAAAGCUGCACAUAUGCAUCUAAGGGCAACAUUUUGGCUUUGAAUGUUAUCUAGGAUAUGAAAGAGAAAAUUGAAUUGGGUUUUCUGUAGCUCCUUUCGUACUUGUUAUGUCUCAAAGCAUCUUGCAACAAAGAUAUUAGAUACUCUUAGCACAGGGAACAUGUAAGAAGAUGGAGCAGGCAUUAGGUGCCCAGCAGAAGAUCACACAGCAUUUGGAAAAGCAGAGCUCAAUUUAUUAAGAAAAGCAAUAGUGAACAGUAAUACUGAUGGUUUUUUUCCUUGCUUCUCCCUCUCUCUGCCAGAGGGAAACAAGAUGCCACUGAAUUUUUAAUAGUAGAUUUUUUAACUCUUUAUCUUAAAACUGCUGCUUAUUUCCUUUCCCUUGGCACUUUUUUCUGAGCAUCCGACAUAACCUCAGCAAUACCACUGUCAGGUGUUUUAAUCUAGUCAUUACAUAUCUAGUCUAGUUAACAUCACAUACACAGCUAUACAGUAAGAUGUCAUUUGGAGAAAAGACCUUCCUAAGCAGCAAAACAAGAUUGGUGGAGUUUUCCAAUAGCUCUUUAAGGAUAACCAGCACUGGUGGAGCAGGGACAUCUCAGCCAGCCCUGUGUUUGCUUGCUCAAGAGUUGGAGACAUGCAGAGCAGCACAGUGCCUGAGAUGCCAAGUCAUAUGGGUGCCUAAAUCCAGAAGACAUAGACACAUCCGGUUGGAGAAGAAAACUGACUAGUAAGUGCUUCCAAGAUAUUAGAUUGCCCCUACGUGGCUUCUUGCCAUGUCCUACAUAAAUCUUCACUGCACUACCUCCAGUUGCUUAGACAGCAAGGUAUGUGCAUCAGAUGUGCAUCAGGCUCCAUGUGCAGACCUGCCACGUGUCCCCAGUCACACAGUGUACUCUGAGCAGACAGAUUCAUGCAGGAAGCUCAUUGCAAGACUUGGUGUAGCUGGGAUGGUGCAAGAGUUGAUAAGCUGCUCAAGCCCAGCUUAAUUCCGAUGUUAAGUUCCGAAGGGAAACAAGUCAAUUAGUGCCUGGAUACAAUGGAUAUUUAGGCUGAUGUUCUCAACACUACCAACUGAAAAAUCUACAGAAUUUACAGCCUCUCUUUAGCUGGUUAUGAUGCAAUGUGAAAGUCGCGUAGGCCUAUAAUUUCCUCUCUAAAUCCGUCUGUGAAUAAGCACUCUUGCAGUGACUGCCUAUUUAGUUUUCACUCCUUGGGACAGUCUGCAUUCAUAUGACCUGCAUCAUGGUUGGAUUUAGCUGAUGAUAUUUCCCUAAUUAUUUGUUAAAACAUAUACUAGUGCAUUUCUGCAAUGAUAUACUCAAUAUUUACAGCAUGGAAAUGGACAGCAACAUAUGCAUCACUCUGCUACUGUGUUUGAAGUGGUAGGAUAUGGUCUUGGCAGUGCCAGGAACUUGCCACUGUUGUUGUUGGGGUGGAAUAAUUUGGGUGCAAUCACAGAUUUUCUUGUGAUUAAUCCGUUUUACAAUAAACAGGAUUAUGGGAGGUGCCAGUAAGUAAUGAUCAUAAUAACAGGAUAUCAUAUGCCUACACACAUCCAUGUACACGUAUGGAUGUACUUUUUAUCUGCUCUUUUUAAUCAUUGUACAGUAUUUGCUCAGUUAAACUGUUCCCUUUGCUUUCUGUAUAUUUCUGUGAAGAUGUCCUUCCUGCUCUCAGCACUGCUGGUGUGGCCCAACUCAGGGUUUAUAAUCAGGUAGUGACCAGUAGUGACCAGGCCCAGGUCUCCAUUGCUAACUCAUACAAGGCUGUCUAUUAAUCUGUGUCUUUGCACUUUGGUGCUGCAGUGGAAGCCGGAGAAAAAAAAAAGAAAUAUGAAGAAGUAUGAUAAGAACUGUAGUAUUUCAGCUAGUUAAGGGAAUAUUUGCUUUCCUUUACAGAUCAUUGCAGCUUUGUCAAAUUGUCACUAAACAUGAGCCUGCAGUAGGUUGAAAUGCAGCAUAAGGACAAGGCAUUGACUGGAUCCCACAGGUCCUACUUAGAUCAGUGUUGCUUAUUGUGCUGCUUGUGGCCUGGGGGCUGAUGCAUGAAAAAGCGUCAGCAUCUCAUCAUCGACAAAGAGCAGCAGGGUCAGGGUGCUCCUGUCAUGGAGAAGUGUUGGGAGAAAGGAAGAAACAAGAAAGGGGAUACAGGGCGAGGACUAGAGGAAGUGCUGAGGCUGCAGCUGCAGAGACGAGGGGUAUGCAGGAGUCCCUGUCCUUCUGCCCCAGCAGCUGACUGUCUCCUUCCACACCCAGAGCUGGCUGGAGGUGCUUGCUGAGGUUUGUGGUGUCAGGAUGUGGUCUGUGCAAUGUUGGCCAAAAACGGAAAAAUGGAAACCCCAGAACUGUAUACAAACAUACAGCUACACAGAAGCAUUUGCCAGAGUUUGGCUGCAGGGGAAGUCAGGAGGGUAGGUAAUGAAUAUUUUAAUUAAAAUGCUUGUAAUGUCAACUACACGGUGUUGUUGGUUUUUUUUAAAGGUAGUGCUUAGGUGAACAGUAUGGUUUGUGUCUUACUGAGGCAGCCCUUCUGAACAUCACAUGGGGCUGGGAAACAGGACAGCAUGCGAGUGGACUUCAGGGACGAAGAUUUCUGUAGUACUCCAAUAAGAAAAGUGGCAAAGCCUCAGCCAAAGCUAAUGAAUGACGCAAAGAUAGUUUCAAGCAAUAGGUAUUUAACCAGGAAGUCAGUGUGGUUUAAGAAACUUCCUCUGGAUCUGCUCUACAAAGGAAAGAAGCUCGCAACAGCCUUAUUAGCUACAGCAGGACCAGAUUUCCCUUCCAGGAGCUCCCUGCCUGGGCUUGCAUAAAAUGGGGAGGGUCUUUUCUUACCUGCAAAAGAAAGCUAGCUUCUGAAAAGCACUGACCUCCUGCCAGGCUCCAACUCUUCCACAGUCAUAGUGUUUUAGCUUAAAAAUCAUAACAUGUUCAAGACAGUUCUGCAUUCCUUUUCUCUAGCCCCUGGCUUUCAGAUCGUGGGGUUAUACUCAGGUCAGACUGUCAGCUCUCUCUCUGCAACAGUGUAAAGGCUAACUCCCUUUUAAAAAAGAAAAUAAAUCUGUGAUUCUCACAUAAUGACUUGGUAUCAAGAGCUGAUGCUUCACAGAAAACAUCAAAUAGCCAGAGCCUUGUGACAGAACUGUAAGAAAUGGCAGCUCCUCAUUAUCCCAUUGACUUCUGUAGUGUAACAUCUAAGUUAUGCUGUUAAAAUGGAGCAAAAGAACGCCUUCAGUCUUUGAAUGUUUCCUGAGACAGACGACCAAGGAUAUAGUCCAUGUGACAGGAGCUCAUACAGCUUCCACGCUGUUUAUGCCACUGAUUUGUCAGCUGUGCUCUGGACUCUUACAUUGUUAAAGCUGCUUACUGAAGUGUUACAUCACUUAAACUGGAUGGUAAUGACAUGCAAAGUGGUAACGAGAUGUAGGACGCUGUGGAGAAGCUAAUGACCCACAAGGACACAUGGGGCCAGAAGUGGUUAUGAGUGACUGCUCUACAUUAAACCCCUAGAAAGUUUGAGAGGAACAGAGGUGGAGGGACUACAGAGGACAACUUAUGAAUCUUUCCUUAAAAAGGGUGCAGGAUCCUUGUCCCAUUCAGACCCAGCUGUGAGCUCAUCUGCACGCUAUUCUCCAACAGCUGCAGAUGUAUUACAGCAGCCUUCUGUGCCUGUGCUAAUGGGAUAAAAGCAUUUCCAUGUGCUCUUUUCAUUCUGAGAGCGUACACCCCUUCCCACAGCCUCCAGUGUAUCCUCAUUCCCUUGAAAUGGAUUCAAAUGUUAAAGCCUGCUCUGUUUAAUUAUUGCUAAAAGUCUGGGAGGAAACAAAAUUGUAGGACAACUUGAAGCUGUUUCAAAAUAAGUAUUUAUAAGGAACAAAUGUGCAAUCACUUACAGGAAAUUCAGAAGCAGGCAGAAUGCAGUAACAAGCACUGAAGAGAAUGAUCAUAAAACUUAAGACAGUCUUCUCAUUCAUGUGUGUGAUUCUGAGUUCCUGGCCUGUGAGAUAUUGCUCCUUAGUGAGUGCCUCUGAUGGUCAGGACCCACGCAGAACAAUGUCACAGGGCAAAUGUGCUGAGAUGCUGGAGGUAACACAUGCGUUGCCAGGCUUUCAUGAACAAGCCCACGAGCAAAGCUUUCAUGAACAUGUCCAUGUUACCAUUUGGACAACUUUGUGCUUUAUCCUUAAAACUACGAUAUCCUUGUAAUUUGAACUGAAGCCAUUGGGAAGAGGUUGCCUUCAGCCCUUUUUUCCACUCAAGUGCAAAACAGAAUUUUAUUCGGAGAGCUUUUUUUUCGGUUUUUCACAGUGAAGAAUGGGGCCCACAUAGGAAAGUUUUCCCGCUGUUAUAUAUCUCCCUGUUAUCUUUCUGCUGUGCUUCUUCCAAUCAGAGAUUUCUGAUCUGGAGACAGUGGAUCAUUCAGUGGAUAACUACUCUGAUUUGAAUGGAGCUUUGCGUACAUUUCUCUGUAUAUGUUCAACAAUGUCUGGUCUUCCCUCUUCCCUCUCCUUUUUCUAAUACAAAAGUGAUUGCUUUCAUCAAGUUUGCUGUGGCAAAACUAUCAUUAAAGAUAAUUAAUUCAAGAUAGGGGCAAUGUAAAGAAAACAAGACAAGGGUGGCUGUUCUUGUGGUUGGGUUUGAGUGAAGAAAUGUAUUUUCUUCUAUUGUUGGGUUAAGUUCAAAUCAAAAUUCAAAGGGAGCCUUGGUUUACAAUUGAGUAUCAUUCUCUCUUUUCCCAUCAGAGUAUUUGUGAUGACAUCUGGCAGCCACAGCAGCAGUAAAGCUCCACUAUCCAUUUUUUGUUUAUUUUUUAUUUUUUUAAGGACAUACUUUUAUAUUUAUUGAGAAGCAACCACCCAAUCAAAACAGAAACUGUAGCUUACUUUCAGUUUUGCGCAUAAGCCAGAAGCUUCUUAACCUUGUCUUUUUUAUAAGCAAACUAUUUCAGUUUUCUUCUAAUAGUUAAUCACAUUAGGAUUUCUUCUUGUAUAAAAUUUUCCUGUAAAAGUUUAAAGCCUCCUGUUUCUGAUGGAAAGGCCUCCUCCUGCCUUCCUGGUUUUAAAGCCUUUCUUUCCUUUUUAACCUUUAGCUUCAUACCACACAGGAAAGAAAAAACACAAAAAAACAACAUUAAUAAGAGAUCUGAGAGGUGCUAUAAAAUGUUUCUUGGAAAGGGAUGUAAAAAGCAUAUAUCAUGUUUUGUGGAGGAUGCUGCACUGAGUAUUGUGGUCAAAAGAGCUGUACUGAGUCACCAUUGCUUUUUCAUAUGGAAACGAGACUGUUGGCCAAUGCCUAUUGGUGGUGUGUUGAUGCUUCAGGCUGGGCUUCAGCAACUGAUGAUAAACUCAAGACUCUAAUCAAGUAUCUUUCAGAAACAUUAACAUUUUGAAAAUAAAUGCUUUUUCUUCUUCUCUGUUGCAUGUAAUGAAUGUUUUAACAUUGUUUGCCAGUGUCUAUGAAGUAUAACAGACGGACACUGCUUAAAAUGAAAUAAUUAUGUCACCUAAUUGUGGAGGGUGUGACCAAAUCAGAGUAGUAACAGUUCUUUCAUUUACAACUUUUUCAACCAGAAACUUUCAUCUUAUGUGUGUCAUCAAGGUCAUUAAUAGAAAGUAUUAAUGACAGAUGCAAGACACUUUACUGAGAAAUUAAGAGGUAGUGAAAAAUCAAGCUGGAAUCUUUUAUUGCUGAAGGAAAGGGUUAGGACCCUCUCUGUUCAUAAAAUGUAAAAGGGAAAGAUCAGUCCAAAAGUCCACAAAGAAUGACACAUUCACUAAGGGUCAUCUAUCACAGUGAUGUGGUGGAUCUACACUGUUCUUAGAGACAGAUCUUGGGAUUGCUGAAAAACACUCUGCUCCUCAAGCUGCCAAUGACCUGUUCACACAGCUGCUUAAUGGGUAUCAUCUUAAUACCCUCCAGAUGUCUUCCUUGGGUGUUCUUGGUGACAUGCUGUGUCAGUACGCACAGUAUUAUUGAGAUACUAAACUGGUAGAUACACUUCCACGUGGAAGAAGCUAUAUAGAGGACAUGUCCAAAGUGCAGCCUGCAGCCGUGUGCAACACAGCACAGCUCAAAUUGCAGCCACCCCCCCGCUGCCACUUCAUCGUGACAGUGGCUCUGCUCCAAGAAUGCACGCAUCACUCAGCACCAACCAAAAACUGGUGUGCUAUGAACCCUAUCUGGGCUGAAAUCCAGGCCUGGGGAGGGAACAGUGCAGUGCCAACUCAAGUUAUGGCAAAUAUGUUUGUGGAUUUUGAUGCAUUGGCUAAACACAGUCCUGUGAACGGUGAAAAAUACGCAGCUGUGCUUUCUAUUGUGAUAAAGAAAUCUGAGAAUAGAUUUCAAGAUUGAGGGGAAAAAAAUCAAUUUUUUGGUUUAUUUGUGACUCCAUUUUCAGUUGACACAAAUAUAUUGCCUGUGAAUUUUCAAAUGGAAUGUAUACAGUUGCAAUCAAAAAUUUGAUCAUGUCUCCUUGCCAGACUUUCACAAGCCCUCUCUUACCAGAGAGAAAUACCCCUCGUUUCAUAGUCACAUCUUAUUCAUGCCAUUGGUUUUUAUUAAUACAUGCAUUUGUCAACAAUUAUUUUCAAGAAUGAAGCACAGGAAGAGUAAAACUUCAUCAAAAAUCUCCGUUGGUUUUCUUGAGCACUCACUAAGAAUUGCAACCACCGCCAUCAAACCAGGGCGAGGUGUUAGUUUCACAAAAAGAAGUCAAACAUGCCAAUAGUUUUAUGGUUUUGUUGCUCUUUUUUACUGUUUCAAUUAAAAAUAAAAAAGUUUUGUUUCUUUAUAUAUUAACUAUUUUAUAUAUUUUACAAGAGCUGUCCUGAAAGUAAUGCUUCCCAUUUUGUUAUGUCAGCCCAUGACAUCAGAGGUGGAUGUUGGUGGUAUGGCAGUAGAGGCUGAACUUUCCUGACAAUAUUCCACUACAUGUUGUUGCUGUGCAACAGAUGACAGCUGAGGGGCAGUCUGGCAAAACUGUGUCUGACACAGAAGUGCAUAUGAAACACAGGUGUAUCAUUGAACUCUAUGUAGAAAAAAUGGCACCCACUGACAUUCAUCAGUGCUUCCUGAGCAUUGAUGGAGACCAAACAGUGGAUGUGAGCACAGUGAGGCAGUGGGUGUAUGGCGUGUUUCAACAGUGGUGACAGUGGGUCACCUCCACUGGUGCAGACUGUUACAAGCAUGGCAUGCAGGCUCUUGUUCAUUGCUGGUGAAAAUGCAUAGCUCAUGGUGGUGACUAUGUUGAAAAAGAGGUUUUUUUUUUUUUUUUUUUUUUUUUUUUGGUGACUGAGAAUGUUCUCUAUUAAGCAGUGUUAUCGUGCUCUUUGUAUCUGUUAUAGUUUCCAUAGAAAUAAUUAGGAGGCAUUUCUUAUGGAGCAACCUUUAUAGAUGCUACCCAAGACAAUUCCCCUUCACUCAGCGCAGUUUGGGCAAGCCAAAUGGUUUGACAUCCAUGCCAUGUAAGAUGGAAAUUGUCUUCUAAAAAGGUCGGGUCUGAUGCUGUGGGACCGUUGUUUGUACAGGCAGAGACAAAACUGCCUGAGAAGUGCCCAAGGCAUGCUGGCAAGGUUAGUCUGUUCUCUGGUAUACAUGCUGGUCUCACUGAGAACCUGAGUGUGCUAUCAAAAUCGAAGCAGUAGGAGUAUUCAAGAGCAUCUUGGCAAGGUGCUGUCAUUCUGCUUUUUUUUACUCCCAUGUGUGCAUGUGAAUGGCAGAGUGAGAACAGAGACUCCUCAGGUUCAGAAUAUACUUGAUUCCCAAACAUUUCAAGAAACUAUUUGGCCUUUGACACUGAUGACAUACCAUAGAUUGCCAAUAAUGGCAUGCCUGAACUUUUGUUAGAAAAAUAAGCAUAUCCCUCAGUAAUUCCCACACUCUUGGGUUAAACCACCACAGUAUCAGAUUAAUGGCACGGCUGAUGAAAUACAGAGUAAUAGUAAAUACUCAGCUAAAUAAAACUUGUCCUCCACUCAGUGCUGUUUUUAUGAGACAGAAGAAAAGUAGAACAAUAAGCUGUGGCUGUGGGCAGCCUGGUCUAGUGGUUGGCAAUCCUGCCCAUGGCAGGGGGGUUGAAACUAAAUGAUCUUUGAGGUCAUUUUCAACCCAAGCCAUUUUAUGAUUCUUUGAUUCUAUGAUUCUAUGAUUCCAUGUCAGGCAUUCAUUUGUCAGCAGCACUGUUCUUGGAGACAGCUAGGAGUGACGGGUUAUUCUUGUCCCACUCUCUUCACAAGAGUCAAGAUCUUGCACAAAGCUGUUGGUUUUCUGCGGAAUUACUACGGCAAGUGUAGUUUCAUUAACUACCCUUAAAAUAAAGGAAGCAUGAGAAAGAGGAAGAAAUCACUGAGUGAAAGAUAGAGGAAUUCCCGAAAGGAAAUGCUAUGAAUAGGCGAGCUGGGAGAGGACGCAUAGCCUACAGGUGAGGUUACGUUGUUUUUGUUCAUUUUCCAUAGGAUGAAUAAAAUCUAUCUUCAAAAGGAGUUCAGGCUUGGAUAAUAAUUGUAGCUCUGCUUUUUCUCAGUAUAAAGAUUCAACCUGUUCACAUCCACGAAUAAUACGAGGCUUAUUAUUCACAAGAGCGGAAAUAGUGGGAUUUAUGCCAAAAUUCCCCAUUCUUUGUGCAUCUAGGAAGAAACAAGUCUAGAAAACUGUGAGUGCAAACAGGUAUAAGAGUUCAUUUCAUUUUGAGGAUGUGUUUCUUGCACGACUCUUGGAGGAGGUAAUAAUCAGUGGAAUGACGUUGUUUCCACAGAGCCACUCUGUAGAGCUGGUAUUGAACCGCUUUCUGUUCCAUCUGGAUGUGGCAUUCAAAACCACAUUGUUUGUCCGAUUCACAAGUUCUGUGUUUGGGUUUUCUGGGUACCUUUUUUUUUUGUCGGCUAACACAAAGUAUGUGUAAAAUCAGGAAAGACAGAAGGAAGACGAAAAUGAGCAAGACGGAUUGAUAUCCACAUAGCUUUAAGUGGAAUGGUUCGAGUUAUCCCAGGGUUUAUUUGCUGGUGUUUUUAUUCCCUUUAUGCUGACUAUUAGAAUAUCCUGUUGCUAUAGGCUAAUGUGGAAUGCGCUCUGCUUAAAUGGUCAGAGUUCAGCGGUUUCACCAUAUUUUUGCAAGCAGAAAGCUGGUCCUUCACAUUUUUUUUCUUUCAUCCCAAGGGGCUUAGGCAUGUGCUGGGAAAAAAUCUACCACAAAUUUCAAGUAUGCAAACUCGUGGGCCUUUAAGACUUUAACUACUGAGAAAUCCCAGCACAGACUUCACGCUUCGUAAUAGAGCUGGGGCACGAAGUGUAAUAAAAUGUGCUUCCUGGUACGCACCGAUACUACACUCACCUUAUAAUCAUUCCAGCUAGGAGCCCCGUUUCUUUCGGAAGCAUCUGGCAUAGCAGCCUGAGCGCUGCCGACGGUGCUGGUAAGGGAGGUCGGCUGAGCGGGGGGACUUCAACGGCAGCCAUCCAAAAAGUCAAUCGCAAACCGACUCCUUGCUAAUACGCGCACCCUUCCUUACUCCCUCUUAGUUCUAUAUCACAAAGGUUUUGGUGGCUUGUUUUCCUGAGAAAUGUCCUCAUCCCACAGCCUUUGCAGUUUGUGUGCGUUCCUGAGUUUGGUACACUUGCUUUUCCUGCUUCCCUGUCUCAUUCAUUUAUCACCCCAUCCACUUUUUCAUGAUAGCUCCUAUAAUUAUCUGCUAUUUUAAGUGCCAUGAGUACCUAAAUACUGAAACCAGUGACAGACUCAUUAUACCAGAUGAUAGCUGUCUUGGUCAACAGAGGGCUGGCUGUAGGUUUGGGAACAGAUUUCAUUACAGUUGCUAAGCCUUCUGGUGGCUGACAUCACUGUCACCCUCUGACACUGCGAGUCAGGUUGGUGCGUGCUGAGGAAAGAGAAGGCAACGAGACAUUCCUACUCUUCAGAAAGGAACCAAAACACAGAGUGAGUACGGAUGGGUUAUUUUGGGGAUAACAAAAGUGGCAGUUGUAGAACAAACACAGCUAAUUUUACUUCUGCUAAGCACAGCACAAAAAACGCUUCUUGGUGAAUGCUUAUUGCUGUGUUCGCAGAUCGACUUCAUAUGUGCCACAUGUGCUUAUUGUUGUUGCAUUGUGAUUUCAAGCUUUUAUGAAGUGAUAAGCCACAUAUUAAUAGCUUUAACAGAAGGUGCCCUAGUUGUUAACAUGGUCACACCUUGCAAGAACAAUAUGUUAUGUCCAUUUCUGAUUCUAGAAAUAUGCAACAUUCUAUGCUUUAAAAUACACAAGGUAAAUGCCUAGUUGGUACUUAAAUCUGCUCAGUAUAUUAUCUUACACAAAUUCCUACCCUGUUGCUCAGUACUGCUAUAAAAAUUUGCUGCCUCAGAAUGCAAAAUAUUAACUCAUUUCCCAGGAAUCUCUCUGGGUAAGGUUGUGAAAGCAGAUCUGGAAGUUGCAAGCGCAUUUGCUCUUGCUUAGUCUUACUCAAAACUUAACUAUCGUCUUACUCUAGCAUAGUAACAGGUGUUCCAGUGCAUUAAAGUUAUUACCCUAGAUUAGAGGAAUCUCUCUCUCUCUUUUCUUUUUUUCUCCUUUAUUGCUUUUAUUUUAUCAGUGGAAUAUAGAUGUAAUCCUAGAAACCUUCAGCUCAUUAAAAAUUGUGCUGGUAGUACUGUAAAUGAGUUUCAUAGUGGCAGGAUUCCACCUCAUAACUACAACUGAAGUCACUGAAAAUAUUUGAAAUAAAGUAUAAGGGAUACAGUAGUCACAAUAGCCCAAAGAAAACCAAACCAGAGUGUUUUCAUCAUCAUAAAAAUUAGGAAACUUUGCGUGUGUUCUCAAUCCUGGAUACUUUAAUAGAUGAAAUGAAAUGAAAUGAAAUGAAAUUAGUAUGUUGAAACUUUCCUUUAUUUGCAUUGUGAAGACAAGGGUGAAAAUACCAAAUGUGUUGUCUUUAUGGUAACUCUUUUCAACCUGCCCUUUUGAGUAGGCAGUGCAUGAAAGCAUUUGCCCAUGAGUAAUACCUUAUUAAGCUGUCAAGAUUUGAUGUGACACACUUUUCUCCAAAUUUGCAUGCCUGAUAAUAGUCUUCCUAAAUAUCACCUUCAGGUCCUUUGGCAAAAAAAGUAUCCCAUCUGAAAGAAACACUGGAUCAGAUGUUGGUGGUGGGACAAUCUCAGGGCAAUGUCUGCAUGCGAAAUAGAAACAGAAAGUUCAGGCCAUUAAAAGCUAUAUGGUCUACUGCCACGCUAAUGUUGAGUUCUUUGUGUAGUGAGGGCUUGUUGCAUGCUUGUAAACAUGUUUCCAUGACUCAUUAAAUCCUCCAAAAUGAAAGCUCUCACAUUUCCAGUACAGUGAAGCUGUCAUUUUUAGAUUUAAUUAUAAACAGGGUAUACAAUGAGCUACCUAACUUGUCCCCUUUUCUGAAGGAGGAGAAUGGCUAGUGACCUCUCCUUUCUCCAAACAACACUAAAAUCCACUUUAUUUGAAAGAUGAAGGAGUGGAAAGUCCUUGACAAAAUAAAAGGAGUGCAUAAAUGAAUGCCAGCUGGGUAACUAAUAUUUUACAUAACAAGUAGGAAUAUAUGUUUUGUGAACCUAUUUAGUGUUCAGCUUAAGCGGCUAUAGUAACCAUAGCAACUCCUCUAUCACCUGUUUGAGACACUGCAAUAUCUUAAUGAACUGUGCACCAAAUGCUCUGCUAAUAUUUGUUGAAUGUUAAUGAUAUUAUCUCUUGGUGAGAGCUACACUGAAAGACAAAUGUGUAGAAAAUGCAGGAGACAGGAAAAAGCAGAAUGGUGUGUACCCAUUGCCCGCAGUGUGCCCAUAAUCACAGCUAACUGCUCUGAAGGCUUUGGUGGUCUGUGGUGGCCAAACGAGCAAUAUUAAAGGGAAAGUUUUCCUACACUGAUUGAACAUGGGAACGCACAGUGAGGGACCCAAAAUACACUUCUAAUCAGUUCCCUCCCUUGAAGCAGUUAUUAAUUUACAAGUGCUGCCAAGCCAUUUACUUUAUUUGGAGGUUUCUGAAUCACAUAAAGCUGUAACAAUAAAGAUCUAUCUGUAGUGCCAGUUUCAGUCAUUUUAGGCUCUGCAUUUUAGGUGCUAUUUCUUCCUUUUCAGUUUCCAAGCCAUAAGUGAUCAGAGCUUUACUCUUCUGCAGUUUAAAAUAUGGGUAUGACAGAUUAAUUUUUCUGUGCCCCACAGCCCCAAGCCUAAGUAAGCAGGGAUGGCCUGCAGAAUUAUCUUCUUAAAGUAUCAUCACUUUUUCCCAAAGGACUGUUGUAGUAGACUUUAUUUGUCUAGUCUAUGAACUACUUAGGGGGGCAGGUGGUUUUCAGUUAACUGAAGAUCCUAGUGAAUUUUGAAUUCCCUUAAUAAAAGAUGUAUGGAAACUAUUUAAAUCAUGGAAGUCUUUGAUUUCAAAUCUCCAAUAUUUAUUUAUCUCCCACUUCAGUGUGAAUUGCAUUAUACUGUGUACAUAAACUUCUGCUCCUGAGUUCACAUGUGCAAAGUCAACAGUUACCAAGUCAUUUUGUCAUUAGGCAACAUGGCAGCAAAAUUCAACACCUUUGGAUGUACCAAGGGUUCUUCGUGUCCAGUUUUGUACUGCUGUGCUACAGAGUACCAAGUUCUUCCCUCUUAAUCCCAGAAGGAUUCCAGAGACUGAAAGCAAUGAAAGCAUGAGUGACUUGGUGAUCCAGAAUCUCCAGGACUUCACUUGCAAUUGCCAUUUACAUAAAGGACCUUCUUGGUGCCCAGUAUAUGAAAAAGGCCUUUAUGAAAUGGGAGCUGGAAUCCUCACAGAAUCAUAGAAUUGAGUUGGAAGAGACCUUUAAAGAUUAUCUAGUCCAACUCCCCUGCAAUGAACAAGGACAUCUACAGCACAGAGCCCCAUCCAGACUGACCUUGAAUGUCUUCAAGGAUGGGGCUUCCAGCACCUCUCUGGGAAACCUGUGCCAGCACCUCGCUACCCUUACUGUAAAAUACCUUUAUCUGAUAUCCAACCUAAUACCCCUUCCUUAAGUUUGAAACCAUUUCCCUUGUCCUAUCACAGCAGACUCUACUAAAGAGUCUAUCCCCUUCUUUCUUAUAGCCCUCUCUUAGAUGCUUGAGAUAUACUUCACAGUUUAUUACUGCAAAGUACAAGACAAUGAAGAUGCUGGAAAAACAGAGUACGUGCGUAUAUGGCAAGGUGUGGCACCGGGGAUUAAAAUCUACAUGAAAUAGCUUAGAAGGCAUGCAUUAACCUUGCACUCAGUGCAAAAUAAUGGUGGUGGAGAAUGUGUUGCAAGCAAGGCUUAGAAUGGUUGAUUCUCCAUAUAAAGAAAAACAUGUACUCAUGGAGUAUGACAAACUUGGCAAUAUCUGUGUCAAAGUGACUAAUGCAGACUAGUAAUAAGCUGUGGAAGUAAGAAAUGCAGCACUAGAGCCUGAUGGUAUGCAUUUCAUUUCUGUGCUGGCCUUCAUAUUCCAAAAUCUUAUCAGAAUCAGAUUCUCCAAGUUACUGGUCUUCAUGAAAAAGUUUAGGAACAUAAAAAAUAGAAUCUUCAUGGACCAGUUUGUGUUGUUGUUGUUAUUUUAACAUAAUUUGAUACUUAUUUUAGUAUUUUUAAGAAGGGUACCUUAUAGUACAAGAAUCAAAGGACUGAACUAUGAAGCUGGUUUGCUUGGAACCUGGAGAAGUGCAUUACCUUUACUGUCAUUGUCUUUUGCUGACAGUGCCAUGUAACAAAAUGAGAGGCCCAAGAAGGGACACAUCUGGAAGUGUGAGCUAAAUAAAGUAAAAAUUCUUCUGGAAACUGGUAAACCUACACUAUAUAUGUCCGUAAUUAAAAAGAAUGAGGUACACUGGCUCAUAAAAGUACCAUCUGAAAACAGUUUAGAGGUUAGAAAAAGACUACUUGGCACAGGCAGAAGGGCAAGCCAUGACCAGGCCUGUCCCCUCAGAGCAGCACUCCCAAUGGGCCUGCUUCACAGUGCCGUGCUUCAAACCUCUCCUGUGCUGGUGUACAGAAAGAAUUUUAGGCAGUGCUCCUGGUGAGAAGAAGCAUUAAUUUCCAUUGGGAUGACUCUUUCCUGCUUUGCUGCUUUGAUGCUUUGUGGUGUCUGUCCACAUCCUUGAAUUGCUUAACUUAAUAUUUUCUGGUAAGAACAUUCUUUUGGUUUUCUCCUAAGUUCUUUUCCUGCUUUUCUCAUUUGAAAUUAGAAUAAUGUGAUUUUCCUGUGAGUAAAACUUCCCACGUAACUGCAUAACAUUAUCAGUACCAAGAGCCAUGCUGAAGCAAUGGGAAAGGAUACUAAUUCAGUGUUUCAUAAGUAAACUGACCUUGAGGGUAACCUGUGAACUCCAGAGGCUACAAGUCAAACCCUGAGUCAUGUAUAUUCGCACAUUCCCAGUUGUAUAAAGAGGUUUUCCUAAGCAAAAGGACUUCAGAAUUGGGUUUAGUUUUUUGUUGUCAUUCCCCUGCUCACCCCCUGCAGGCCUAAUCCUUACCACAGACAUUGCUAUGCAUUGGCAUCCUGGCUAGAGAAAGGGAAAACAAUCUUCAAACUCCUUUCUUUUCAACAGAAGGAGAGUUUACAUUUAAUUUUACCCCAAAAUUUGAAUGUGUUUCUGUUAAACACGCAGACACGCACACAAAAUUUUCUAGAAAUAACUGCAUAUUUAGGAAAGCAAAAGUAGCUUCAAUACGAAGUUGAAGAAUUAGAAUGGGGGGAAACCAAAUGCCUUGCCCAGGAACAUGAGCAGCUUACUGGAUGAAGUUUGUAUUGCUGCUCUUUAAGGUACAAUUCUGAGUCCUGUGACAAAGAAAACUUUACUACACGAGGUUUCUAUUUGACUGUGUUGCUGUAUAACCAACAGAUAACUUUUCCAUCUCCUGUCCCUGCUUCACAGAAGCCCGUUUUCCACACGGAGGCAGCUGGCAUGGAUAGUUGGAACUGUGGGAAGAAAAGAUAAAGGAGAAUUCCCUGAGGGAAUACUCCUAGGGUAGGCUUUCUUGUAAAGUUGGGUUUUAUGAGAAAAUAUAGAUUGUUGCGGAAAUUUUGUUGCUUUUUCUGCCUAGAAAAAAAUGAAACAAAAAAGAUUUUAGUCUGACCAGAAUUUUUAGGCAAAUUUAGCUGUGUUGAUCCGAGCUGAAACAUCCGAUUUCAACUCAGUGAAAUGCAGGCUGUUCUUCCCAACAGUGGUACUUUGUUUCAUGGGAUUUGUAGAGAGAUGCUUUUGAUAUGUGCCUGAAUCUUUACUUGUGUAACAUGAUGCAUUGCAUAAUUGAUUUUUGAAGUCAGUAACUAAAUAAGUUGUUGAUAGAAAAUACAAUGUAAUGAAAUUGCUUCUUUUUUUUCCCCAUGCUAAUGAAGGCUUGCAGAAACAUAAAGCAUAUUGUCUUAUUAUUUUAUCAUUCUUGAUUUCAUGGAUGCUUCUUAAAUCUUUAGUAUUAAGGAAAAAAACCAAUGUCUUUUUACUAUUACUUUUAAAAGUAAUGAGGUAUCAUUGCCAACCAUCAACUAGCAAAUAAAAAAAGUAACCUCAGUAAACUAAUUAUGAUUUGUAUUAAACUCUGCAUGUACCUGUAUUAGAGAUCAGAUGGUUUAGAACCUCUGCGUCCUUCUACCAUCCUUCUUUGCCAGUCUUUUUAACUCACUGUACUUCCAUAUAGUUUUGGAACAGACUUUCAGAGAUUUCUUCCCACUGAUUUAUUACAGGCGACUGUGCACCAACUUGUUCAGCCUAGCAGAUCAAGCAUCUGCCCUGUAGCACAGAUGCAGUGAAAUGAAAUCCAGAAGUUAAUAGUCUUUUGAUUAAAAUAGCUGAAUCAAAAAGUCUAGUCAGUUUUGUCAUUAAGGCGGGUUAUAGAUGGAUCAUUUCGUACCAUGUUUCUGUCUGUCUGAGUCAUGCAUUGUUUAGAUUGUGUAAGCGAUGGAGGAAGGAGUUGUUCUGAAGACACCUUCCUUCUCUCUUGCCUGUGGCUGGUGCAGCCUCAAAUGGGUCCAGAGCAGUCUGAAGGAUGCUGUAAAUAACUGAGCAAAGGGAAUGGUCUUCUGAGGACUGCUCCCCCGAGAGGGCUGCAGUGUGCUCUCAUCUCUGCCUUUUCAGUGAUACCCUGCCAAGAGGCUGAGUCAUCUUGCUUGAAAGGUAAUGGAUUUCCCAAAGGUCAGCCUUAAGGACUUUGUACGCUGUAGCUUUCAGUCUCCAUUUGUAAAUUGAAGGUUGCCUGACAUUGCUGGUCUUAUUUUUUGAACUUCUGUUGGAUGUGCAUUUAAAUACCCACGUCAGACACUCUGCCAGGGUAAUUAGUUCAUCUUUCUUCCAUUUACCACAGCAGUGUUGAUAAAAGCAGUUAAGUACUACUUUGCAAGGUUCAACUCUGCACUUUCUUAUAUUCAUCAGCUAUGUAUUUUAAAAUUAGUGUGACACUUUCACAUUGUGACAACAGCUUUCUUUUUGAAAUAUACUGAUAGUAUUUCAGACUUCUUUUAAUUUUUAUGCCAUCGUCUCAGAAAUGUUUCCAACUUACAGCUUUCUAAUUCAAGUGUUAUUGUGCCAGCUCUACUUGAGGUUAUUUUUACAUUCCAGAGUUGCCUGGAGUUAUAUAUUCUAGUGUUAUCUAGAUUAUUAAGUAGCAUUUUGUAUUCUGAACAUCCCAGUCUUCCUGCAGGUGCCAAUUUGAAUCUGCUAGGGGAGGAACUAUUAAAAGCAUCAGAAAUGAAUUGCAACAUUAGUUUGAAUAUGAAUAUUACCUUUUCAUCCCAAAGUGCAACUGUUCCGCUGCUUGUUUAUUUUAAAAAACACACACAUCUUUGCUUUUACAGUUGUCUAUUGCAAAGGAAAGGCAAUCUAUUUGUGACAGACUUCAUAUCUGAAGACACUUAAAAUGUUGAUUUUCAAGCUAGCUUCAGUUCUUUCUAGCCUAUAUGCUGGGUCAUAUUUUUCUCUGCUGUACUCCUACUGUGUAUAACAGACCCUGGGGUCUGAUCCAUCUCUAUCUGGACCAGCUCAGUAAAGACACAGAAUGGUUCUUCUGAUUGCAGCUUAUAUUGAAUUCUCUGCACUGAGAAAGAUAUCCAUGGCAGCUGUAAUUUAGCUAAUGAGAAGAAGUCCUUUCUUCCUCUUCCCAUUUUGCACCCAGUGCUACUGGCAGGGAUCUGGCUGGCCUGGACUACAUAACAUUGCUUUAUAUGAUAAAAAUUCCAGUGAUCAAGUAAUUCCAUGUUAGGUUGCUCUGCAUUUGGUUCACCUGUUUGAAACCGUUCUUGAAUGUGGCAAUUUAUUGGAAAGAAUAUAGCUAAUUAUGGAAGGCUUAGUUAACAAAUGAGAACAAGUAGAAGUCUCAGAUUUUGAAGUAGUGCUGCAUUUCUGGUAUCAUGAUCACUGCCAUUGCCUUGUCACAGUUUUUAACCUUCAGACUUGUUCACUGUAUUGAUUACCACUGAGCUAACCUUCAUUCUGCCCUUUGUCCUUGUAACCAUUUGUCUUUUAACAUACAUCCAUGAGAAUCCUCCAAUGCUGCGGGGCUCCCAGCCAUGACUUUGCUCUCAGUGAUGCAGGUGUUUGCCCUUGGCAGUGCCUGAACUUCCACCUGGUACCACCUCCUCUGGCUGCCUUUCUUCCACAAGUUCCCACUGGACAGACUGUAAAAGUUUCUUCCUUCGGGGCCAGAAUCCUUUUCCCUCCCUUGAACAUGGUAUGACUUUCUCACACACAUACAUACACUUGGGUGACAAAUGCGAAAACAAAUAUCUGGAGGAAGGUUUAAAAACCAGCACCAGUCUUUUCUUGCAUCCAAACUGGCAUCCAAACUCUUGUUCCUCCCAUCUAGCUGUGCCAUUGUGUCUCUGGAGAUGGAGUAAAUCCAGUUCAGACGUUGACCCUUUUGUAUUCUUUGCUUCCUAUUCCUUGCUAAUUUUUAAAUUCUGCACUUUUAUCUAAAUCACUGUCACCAACAGAGUUUCUCUCUAAGGCACCAAUUACUUCAAAAAAGCAUUAUUACCCUCCUUUUGAAUGCAUCUUGGAGGGGAUCCUCCCGGAUUUAACCAGUGCAAAAGGUUUUCGCAUACCACGUACUCAGUUCAAGUGACACGUGUCCACUCUGCUAUGUUUGGGCAUCAGAGGAGAAGCAUUCCUGCUAAGUGCUCUUAAUGCACCCCUCUCUGUGCACUGCAGCUGCUAAGAGCCAUUGUGCAAGCAUGCCUGACAAGACCAUCACAGGAGGAUCAAUGAGUUGUCUCUGCUUUGGUCUUACCCUGUGCAGGGUGUUGUGAAUAGCCAUCGAGAUACUUGGUUUGUGUUGCAAGUGAAGCAUAAUGGGAUCCUCCCACUUCAGAACAUGUACCUGAUGAGCACAGCUGGCCCGGGAUGAAGUGCUUUACAUCAGCUUUUCCCUCCAUCCCUCCUUGCUUCUCAGCUGGACAGUGCCAGUAUUAUGCAAACUCCCCUCUUGGUGGCACUUAGGAGAAAAAUCAUUGUUGUUUUUCAAUGGGAAAGCAAACAAGCAGAUUUUUCAGACCUUCCUUUCCCUGUGACAUACCCAGCACUGGAGCUUAUCUAUCACGUUUAGCUUUUAUAAGCUAAAAGGGAAUAUAUUUUAAGAAGCCUUUAAUUAAAAUCCUGGCAGCACAUCACUCUAACAACUUAUUAUUUCACUUUUUUUUUUCCUGCAGCUCAGUUCAGUAAGAUUUCUUGUACUGAUAGGAAUUUUUUCUGGAGAGUGACUGCAUUUUGCCGUGGUAGAUAAAACCCUCACAGAAGCAAAUCCAUGAUGUCGGAGCUUUUCUUCAGUCAUCAGAUCUGCCUGAUUGUCCCCUUGAGAUCAAAAGACAGCUUUCCCUUUAGGGAAACAGAAAGACUAAUGGCUUUCUGAACUGAUAGAAGGCGAGGGGAAAAGAAAUUGGAAAAGAGUGGGUGGUAUGAAUUUGUGAAUUUGCAGCUUUCUGUUUCUCCACCUUUCUGUUUCUUUGCUUUUGACUCAAGAAAGGUGUAACUCACAUUACAAUGGCACUACAG
rnacentral:lncRNA from 1 species